GUGUGUGUGUGUGUUUGUGUGUGUGGAUAUAUCUAUCUAUAUAUAUAUAUAUAUAGAUAGAUAGAUAUAUCCACACACACACACGCGG